CGUUGUCGUUCAGUCCAUGCCCCGCGCACUCUAAUAAAAAACAUGUAAUUGUAUUUAUUUUCCUUCCAUUUUGUCAGAGGCGCUGAUGUCGGCAUUGUGAUUGGUGGAACAUGACUUUUGACAAAUCCUGCGCUAUCUGUGAAUCUGUGUUCAGUGUUCGUGUUCGUUCGUUCGUUGUCGUUCAGUUAUUUUAUAUGGUCAGUUAUGUGAUGUGUUUGUGUCACCAUAAAAAGCUGAUAUUCAGUCGUGUUUUUUGAUAUUUUGUAAUCGAGUACCUUUUUAAAGGUCUAAUGGCUCCCAUCAGGUGUUGUGUGCAGUCGGUUGAAAAAUUCAACGAGUAAACAUAUAUUUAAUCCAAAUUAAAUACUCAUAUUUCUAUGUAAAAUGUCACAUUAUUGUAUAAAUAAAUAAUUAAGAAACAAAAGUUGUUUGUGUUGUACCUUUAUUGUCCACUUGAAUAAAAUAUUAAAUAUUGGAAGUACCGUAUGGAGGCUAUCAUGUACCUAGCAUGGAGGCUAGAUUACGCCACUCUUCCUAUCCAAUCAACAACAAGAACGUUUAAAAUUUCACACCUAUCAUGUCGAAGCUACAGACCACUUAUGUGGAGGCCAGAUUUGUAGUACCCUUCCAUUUAACCAGGUGCUGAGAUGGCGCUGAAAUACGUGACAUAUUUUUUAAAGAGUAAGAUCGCAUUCUACCAAAUCACACAACACUUUUUUCUAUGGUUGUUUUCUUGUCACAGAGCUAGCAAAAUGGUAAGAUGAUUUUAUUUUUAUUGUGGAAUUGGAAGAAGGAAAUAAAGAAAAGGUUGAUUAUGGUGAAGAAGUAAAACAAAAUUACUUAUAUGCUAAGUUUAUUGAAGAGUGAAGAUCUUGAACAAGAGAUAACGCAAACAUCUAGGAGAUUUUUGAUGAGAUGCCAAUCCUGCGUUCUUAGAAAAAAGCCAGUCCCAGAAGGAAACAACCAAUAAUAAAGUAGAGAAUUUAUUACACCAAAGAACAAAGCUAAUACUCAACAUAGAUCAACUGAUCCACAUAGAAAAGGAGGAGCAAAGGGCACAACAGAAGCAGGCCAGACAAAAGAAAAUGACAGAAGAGAGACACAGAAAAGAAAUUAAUUUAUUAAAUUUAAAAAUUAAAUUAUGCAAAGGACAAUUAAAUAAAGAAUAAAAAAAUCAAACAUGUA
rnacentral:lncRNA from 1 species